CCAGGGACAUCGGAGUCUUUGAACGCAAGUUGCGCCCGAUGCCAUUAGGUUGAGGGCACGUCUGCCUGGGUGUCACAUAUCGAAGCCUCCUGCCAAUUUCCAUUUGACUAUUGUGCAGGGUGGAUGUUGGCCUCCCGUGAGCUCUUUUGUCUCAUGGUUGGUUGAAAAUUGAGACCUUGGUAGGGUGUGCCAUGAUAGAUGGUGGUUGUGUGACCCACGAGACCAAUCAUGCGCUGCUCUAUUGAAUUUGGCCUCUUUUACCCAUAUGCGUUUCUAAACGCUCGUGAUGAGACCUCAGGUCAGGCGGGGCUACCCGCUGAAUUUAAGCAUAUCAAUAAGCGGAGGAAAAGAAACUAACAAGGAUUCCCUUAGUAACGGCGAGCGAACCGGGAUAAGCCCACCAUGAGAAUCGAUCGCCCUCGGCGUUCGAAUUGUAGUUGAAAAAAACCGUCAAAAAG
rnacentral:rRNA from 1 species